GGUAGUCCACGCCGUAAACGAUGUCAACUAGCCGUUGGGAGCCUUGAGCUCUUAGUGGCGCAGCUAACGCAUUAAGUUGACCGCCUGGGGAGUACGGCCGCAAGGUUAAAACUCAAAUGAAUUGACGGGGGCCCGCACAAGCGGUGGAGCAUGUGGUUUAAUUCGAUGCAACGCGAAGAACCUUACCUGGCCUUGACAUCCAGAGAACUUAGCAGAGAUGCUUUGGUGCCUUCGAGAGCUCUGAGACAGGUGCUGCAUGGCUGUCGUCAGCUCGUGUUGUGAAAUGUUGGGUUAAGUCCCGCAACGAGCGCAACCCUUAUCCUUUGUUGCCAGCGGCUCGGCCGGAAACUCAAAGGAGACUGCCGGUGAUAAACCGGAGGAAGGUGGGGAUGACGUCAAGUCAUCAUGGCCCUUACGGCCAGGGCUACACACGUGCUACAAUGGCGCAUACAAAGAGAAGCGACCUCGCGAGAGCAAGCGGACCUCAUAAAGUGCGUCGUAGUCCGGAUUGGAGUCUGCAACUCGACUCCAUGAAGUCGGAAUCGCUAGUAAUCGUAGAUCAGAAUGCUACGGUGAAUACGUUCCCGGGCCUUGUACACACCGCCCGUCACACCAUGGGAGUGGGUUGCGGAAAGUAAGUAGGUAGCUUAACCUUCGGGAGGGCGCUUACCACUUUGUGAUUCAUGACUGGGGUGAAGUCGUAACAAGGUAACC
rnacentral:rRNA from 1 species